UUCUAACCUGUCUCUCUUAGUUAUGCUGCUAUCGUUUUAGACUGCCGGGGGGCUUCCUAUGACACACUGAUCUCCUCUCUUUCUCCAUCUGUUAUCAUUCAUGUCCCUUUAAUGCAUGUUACUAACCUUGCUCCAGGGGAGCUUAUUCCUCGGAGUCCUUAUGCUUUCUUGCCUAGCAGAUUUGGUAGUUUAGGAGCUUUGGUUUUGGCAGCUGCUGUU